rnacentral:rRNA from 3 species
AGAUUAAGUUAUUAAGGGCGCACGGUGGAUGCCUUGGCACUAGAAGCCGACGAAGGACGUUACUAACGACGAUAUGCUUUGGGUAGCUGUAAGUA